UACGUAGGGGGCAAGCGUUGUCCGGAUUUAUUGGGCGUAAAGAGCGUGUAGGCGGCCAGAUAGGUCCGUUGUGAAAACUCGAGGCUCAACCUCGAGACGCCGAUGGAAACCAUUUGGCUAGAGUCCGGAAGAGGAGAGUGGAAUUCCUGGUGUAGCGGUGAAAUGCGCAGAUAUCAGGAAGAACACCGGCGGCGAAGGCGGGUCUCUGGGCCGUAACUGACACUGAGGAGCGAAAGCGUGGGGAGCGAACAGG
rnacentral:rRNA from 1 species